CAGCACACCAAGCUGUGCCAGCUCUCCUCUAUGGCUGAACUGGAGUCUGUAUGUUCCCAGCUGCCUGCUCUGGCUGGGGGCCUGCUCCCAGAAGACGGAGCUUAUAAACCCUGACAAUCUACCCAUCCUUCUGCUGAAGAUGCCUGCUGCCAUUCUCUACAUGCCAAAAUGAGCUCCAUGGACACAGCUAGCAGACAGAAUCAAGGGCAGGUUCACUAUGUCUUUUGUGCCCCACAAUUAGGAUUGUUGCUUCUCCAGCCCUUGGCACCCUAGUGCAUACUUCCUUCCCAUGGGCUGUGACCCUGAGGUUCCGAAAUGGCUCACAGACAUGACUUCCUAUGGUUAUGACAAAGCAACCCUUGGUAAGAAGCCAAAAUAAAGAAAAACACCCGAUCUGCAGAGAGCCAGAUGGGGAGCUGAGUGGGGUUCCUGGAGGAAGUGGCUGAGAAGAAGAAAAAAGGAAAAAAGAAGAGGAAGUUUAGCAGAGUUCGGGGUUUCACCUAGAUUGUUCCGUGCUAUACCAUCUUCAGCUUCCGCUGUUUCCUCUCGAAACCAGUUGUAACCAUACAACCUGCCACACGUUUCCUCACAGACUUGCAAUAAGCAACAACUGAACUGCCACACAGGAGCUCCAGACUUUCUCACAUCAAGAGACACUCGUAGGAUGCAAGGGGACUUUUCUUCUCAGAAUGCAGCAGCCAUCGGGACUGCAUGUGACUGGGGGCAAGAAGAGCUCUGAGGAAGAAAUAAAAGAUGAAAGAUGAGGCCAGGUGUGAUGGUGCAUGUCUGUAAGCCUAGAUCUUGGGAGGUGGAAGCAAGAGGAUCAGAAGCUCCAGGACACUCUCAGAGAACCAAAUGCACGUUACCUAGCUUACACAGUGGCGAGAGGACUUCCUCCACCCCCAAAAGCCAGUGGCCUGCUUACAUCCACAGCUGCUUUGUUUAUGGUCUGGCCUUGGAUGCAGUGGCAGACAGCACGAUGCUGGGAGAAGGCUCCAUGAGGACAUCAGGUGCUGUUAACUUCGCUGCUUCAGGAAAGUGCUUAUCCAAGGUUCUGAGAAGCUGGGGUUCUGCGCAGAGACAGUAAAACUGAUUCAAAUGGAUUAUUUCUGAAGUCUCAAUGAGGCGGCACGGUCCCUGUCCUGCCAAGGUGCCCCGAUUCCUGGGAUUCCUGUGAAGCCUUGAACUUUUGGAGGUCUCCGUGGGAAUGAAGAACACACUGGUAUUUGGGGUUUGGUAAAACAUCUUGGACUGUUUCUGAAACAGGACAUCAAAUGCCUUUUUUGAUCUUGUGGGACUUGAGUGUACCCCAAGGGACAUUUAAUCCCUGUGCCUUUCAGAAGAUCGUUCUUAAGUCAUGAAGUG